ensembl:lncRNA
CACACAGAGAUCUCUGGGUUCCUUUCACAAACAAAGUCUCCCUCUCCAGCCGCCGUCGAGGCUCUCCUGUUUCUAUGGAAAUGCCCGUUGUUGGGUUUUGUUUGCGGUGUUCGAGCUCAGAACCCAAACGGAUGGAGGCGCUCUGGGGGCGCUGGAACUGCUUCUGCGGCAGCCAGCAGCCGCCCCCAGCAGCUGGACUGUCCGCCUUCUGUCUCUCCCAGAACUGCUGAGGAAGGUGAGCCCAGUUGGGCGAGGCUGCUGAGGACGGCUGGACGGACAGACGGAACACGUCGGCGUCCAGGAGGAGACGGCCUUCCAAUUCAUCCCUGGCAAGGGCUCACUGUCCACAAUGAUGCUCUUGGCACGUCACCUCCACAGUUAUGUAGGGAAUGGGCUGGAAAGGGACUGAUGGAGGGAAGGUGAUGGAGGCUUGAACCAGGGAGGCACCACAUCAGUGGACCCAGACCAGACCUUCAGUUGGCCCAGUUCACGGAGCCCCUGCAGGGAGAUGCCCUAUUUGAACAGACUGGACGUCCAUCCAGCUCUGUGUCCCAGUCUGGAAAGUCUUCAGCAAUUUGUUCAAUCCUGGGCGGAUCUUUGGGUUGAGAGACGGUCCUUUGGCGUCUCUGCAGCGCUCUAGGGCCCAGGAGUAAUGGCAGAGGGAAAGUGACCCUCCCCAGCCUGGAAGCCACCAAGCGUGACAUCUCAGGGACACCAGCAGGACUACGGCCCAGAAGCAAAAGAAACCCUCAAAUCACCCCCCCCCCAACAGUCUUGGACCGCCUCAUGCAUGGGCUCAGUUCCAAGCACCACAUUUUCACAAGUUUACAGCCAGAGAAGCAGCACCCGAGGGAGAGAGCCUCAGGCUGCCCCCUCUGGAGCAGAAUCUGGACGUGUACCCUAUCCCCUGUGUAAAAGGCAAAUGUAUAUCUCAAAUAAUGAAAUGACUAUAUUUUAUGAGAUUUACUGAGGAUCAUUAGAAAUCAAGGAAUAAGGAGAAUACAAAAUCAACCCACGUGCCCAGGGCUGCUGAGCCACUUUCAAAAUCCCCACUCACCACCAUCACUGCUGAUUGCUGUAUCACGCCCCCAAAAGAGGACGUGGGAGGGUUUACCGCCAGCUAAAUACCAAUCACGUGAUCCUGACGACAUGGAGACGCAGGAGAGAUUAUAGGGAAUUUUGGGACAUGCUGAGGACUUCUGGGGAAUGAAGUCAAAGGUUCAAAAUCUCCAUUUAUACACCUGUGGCCAGAUUCUUUAAGGAAUGGGUCCCUUCUCAUGCAGAGACUCUAAUUCUGUGGGUUCAAAUAUGGUAAAAACCAUAAAGCUGGUUAUGUCUCAAAUUGUAUGAAGCUAUCAGCAAUGGAGGCACCUAUGUGACUCAGUGGAUGGAGAGCCAGGCCUAGAGAUGGGAGGUCCUGGGUUCAAAUCUGGCCUCAGAUACUUCCUAGCUGUGUGACCCUGGGCAAGUCACUUAUCCCCCAUUGCCUAGCCCUUACUGUUCUAUUGCCUUAGAACCAAUAUAUAGUACUGAUUCUAAGAUGGGAGGUAAGAGUUAUUUUAAAAAAAAAUCAUGAUCAAGAAUGGGAAAGGUGGCAUCCAUAUUGACACAGAAAUAUUCCUGAUCACUUAAUUUGUGGGAGGGAGAAACUGGGAAGACCCACAUGCCCGCCACAUGGGGAGGCACAGGAUGAAUUAAAAUAGGAAGGCAGAGGGGUGCCCUGCCUGUGGGUGAAAAUACUGAAGAUCAAGAUUCAGGGGAUUCUGGAGUUUGGAAUGAAGUCACGCCAAAGGAAGAACAGGGAAGAGAAUAUACAAGAUCCCCCCAACAGGGCUGGAAGCUUGGGGAGGAAGGAGCCCUGAGCAAAUGGGGCCUUUUACUUGUACAUUCUAAGUUUGCAUAUUGGGGUUAGUGCUUUUUUAACUCAAGGCUCUUAAAGAUUUCCCGGGGUUUGACUAUUGGUUAAUAAUUGCUAGCCUUCAGUUAACAAAGCUCCGAACAUAAGUUAAUCCUGACCACAGCCCUGUGAAAAGGUGCUGUAAUGACCCCCAUUUUGUAGGGGGCAGCAGGGAACUAGCGAGAUGCACAAAAUUGGACAGCUAGUGUUGGAGGCAAGACUUGAACUCGGGUCUAGCAUCCUAGCUGCUUUGGUGAGAAUAUUUCUAUUCAAACAAAUAAAUGGUGAAGAAGGAGUUGGGCA